rnacentral:rRNA from 1 species
CAGUAGCCGCGGGAAUACGAAGGGUGCAAGCGUUAAUCGGAAUUACUGAGCGUAAAGCGCGCGUAGGUGGUUCAUUAAGUUGGAUGUGAAAGCCCUGGGCUCAACCUGGGAACUGCAUCCAAAACUGGUGAGCUAGAGUACGGUAGAGGGUAGUGGAAUUUCCUGUGUAGCGGUGAAAUGCGUAGAUAUAGGAAGGAACACCAGUGGCGAAGGCGACUACCUGGACUGAUACUGACACUGAGGUGCGAAAGCGUGGGGAGCAAACAGGAUUAGAUACCCCCGUAGUCCCUGUCUCUUAUAC